CUCUCUAAUAAACAUGGUCUAAAAUUCGUUGGUAAGAAACGUCGUUCCUUUCCCAUUCUUUGCGAGUUUCCCUGAGAAGGUCUUCUAAGGUUACGAUCACGGUGGCCUCUAUUCUGGCGGAGCUAAACUGUCACCCUUCUCAGAUUCUGAGGCUGCACAGAGCUUGGAAAGAAUCGAAAUCGUUUUCGAGUCAGCGCGAGGUCCCGUAUGGAGAUGGGGAAGAUGAAGAGUAUCUAAGACUGUACGUACCGUUUCAUUAUCAGUUCGAGAAACCCCAGGGUUCACGAUUAAUUGGGGUUUGGAAACUUCACUUCAAGGUGUGAGAUUUUUAUAUUUUUCAUGUUGUAGCUAUCCGGUACUUUUCCGGAAUUUUCAGCGGGCUGUUCCAAACCAAAACUCCCUUAUUACUGACAAUUCACCAAAGUCCACAGUAAACUCUACCAUACAAGCACCGCGAAGAAAAUUUGUAGAUCAAGGAAAGCUACGUAAGGUUUUUUUCUGAUUCUGGUCCAUGACGGAGUUCGACACUGACUGCUGAUUCAGGGGCAAACACUAAUGCAAGUGUUGCAACAGUAAGCGGAAAUGGGAACAGCGCUGUGGGUUCUAAAUUGAGUUCUUUGGCACUUCGUUCUGUAACACUUCGGAAGGGACAUUCUUGGGAAAAUGAAAACAUAGAUGAAGGAGUUCGUGGGGAACCUUUUAAUGAUUCAAGGACUAAUACUGCCUCAAUGACUGGUUCUAUGGCUUCCAGUGAUGCUAAAUCCUGUGAUCAAGAAGACGAAACAAUGUCAAUUGGUGGCACAACGUUAAGUGCACAAAAAAAUCCCAGUUUGUGUUUCAGAAUUAGUUAGCCUCCUAAGGACACUCGGGGAAGGGUGUAGACUUUCGUACAUGUACAGGUGUAAGGAGGCACUGGAUACGUAUAUGAAACUUCUACAUAAGCAUUAUAAUACAGGAUGGGUUCUUUCCCAUCCUUUAAUAAGUGACCCUUCUCUCUUUCACGCUGUCUUGUUCAGUUUGGUGGGUGUGUAUAGACUUUUCAAAACGACGAACUUGAAGUGAAGUUUCCAAAGAGAAUCCGUGCAUGAAGUUUUAAUCUGGUUGCCUGUGAUAUACGUUGUUGAAGGUAUUUUGAUGGUUUAUGUACGAGCAAUGGCUAUUAAUGCAGGUCGGGAAAGCAUACUUUGAAUUAAUAGAUUAUUUAGAAGCUGAAAAAGCAUUCUGACUUGCUCGCCAGGCUUCUCCUUACAGUUUAGAGGGAAUGGAUAUAUACUCUACGGUCCUCUACCAUUUGAAGGAAGAUAUGAAGGCACCCUCACGGACAUUGCACCGGCCUGGUGCUACGGUCUAGAUGAACCAGGUGCAGCAAGAAACUAUCUUGCACCGUUUGUAAUUAAUUUACAGUGCUACUUCGACAGGAUCAGCAAAGAAUUAACCCCUCAAAGGCAGUUGAAUGAAGACGCUGUGUUAGUUGUUGAACAACUGAUGGUUCUGGUGCAGUAUACUGCUGAACUAUACCAAGAACUCCAAGUAUUGGAUCGAUUGGAAAAAGACUAUGAGCAAAAGCGUCGAGAAGAAGAGAACUCAGCUAGCAGCAGUAAAGGUAAACUAUCGAAGAUGGACUGAUUGUGGUAAUAGUAUUAGCUAGACACUUUGUAAUGUCUUUAGAAACUGUUGGGAGAGAAUGAACUUACUCACGUAAAGAGCUGUUUAAAUAUAUAAUUAUAUUUGGAUGGUAA